GAAAUAAUAAAUUUAUUAAUAAUUUUAGUAAUUAAAUAUAUAAUAAAAAUAAUUUUAAAUAUUUAUAAUUUUAGUAUAAUUUAUAGAAAAAAUUUAUUUAAUAAUAGUUGAUUUGUAUUGUAUAAGAUAAUUGAAAUAUAUUUUUUUUGUUUAAAAGUAAAAUUAAUUUUUUGUACCUUGUGUAUCAGGGUUUAUUAAAUAAAUAUUAAUUAUUUAGUUUUCUCGAAUUUAAGAGAGAGAUAAAAUUAUUUUUAUUAUUGUAAAAAAAAUAUAUAAAAUAGUUUUAUAGUAAUGAAAUGUUAUUCGUUCUUAAAUAUAUCUAGUUUAUUUAGAAAUGAAUUUAAUUCAGGUAUUUUUUUAUUAAUUUAUUAAAUUUUUAAUAAAUUAAUUAUUUAUAUUAAUAAUUAAAGGGAUUAGCUUUUAAUUAAAAUUUAAUAAUUUAUAUUAUAUUUUUAAAAAAUGUAAGUUUAGAAAUAUCUAUCAUUAAUAGUUUGUUAUAAUUAAUUUAAUUUUGAAAUAUAAUUUUAUAUAAGUUUUAUUUUUUUAUAAAUAAAUAAUUUUUAAUUUAUAAAAAUUAGUUAUAAUGAUAGAAUUAGUAUAAAAUUAUUUAUUUAAAUAAUAAUUUUUUAUAGAUUAUUUAAAGGAAUUCGGCAAAAUAUUUACUCGCCUGUUUAACAAAAACAUGUCUUUUUGAUUUAUAUAUAAAGUCUAGCCUGCCCACUGAAUUUUAAAUGGCCGCAGUAAUUUGACUGUGCAAAGGUAGCAUAAUCAUUAGUUUUUUAAUUAAAAGCUCGUAUGAAAGGUUGGACGAGGUAGAUACUGUCUCUAUUUAAUUUAAUUUAGAAUUUAAUUUUUAAGUUAAAAAGCUUAAAUUUUUAUAAAAGACGAGAAGACCCUAUAGAUCUUUAUAGUUAUAUUAUUAAAAUAAAUUUAGAUUUUUUAUUAUUUUAUUAUAAUAAUUAUUUUAUUGGGGUAAUAAAAAGAUUAAAAAAAUUCUUUUUUAAUAUUUAUAUUUAUUUAUAUUAUAUUGAUCCAUUAUUAAUGAUUAUAAGAUUAAGUUACCUUAGGGAUAACAGCGUAAUUUUUUUAGAGAGUUCAUAUCAAUAAAAAAGUUUGCGACCUCGAUGUUGGAUUAAAGAUUAAUUUAGGUGCAGAAGUUUAAAUUUUUGGUCUGUUCGACCAUUAAAUCUUUACAUGAUCUGAGUUCAGACCGGCGUAAGCCAGGUCGGUUUCUAUCUUUAUAAAUUUAUAAUAUUUUAGUACGAAAGGACCAAAUAUUUAAUAUAUUAAUAUUUAAUUUUUUGAAUAUUAUUAUUAUUUUGGCAGAUUAGUGCGAUGAAUUUAGAAUUCAUAUAUGUAAU
rnacentral:rRNA from 1 species